UUUUUUUGUUUUUUUGUUUUCUUUUUUGGCUGCCCCAAGGCAUAUGGAGUUCCUAGGCCAGGGAUCAGAUCCAAGCCACAGUUGUGACCUAAGUAAGUUGCAGCUGCAGCAGUACUGGAUCCUUAACCCACUAUGCUGUGUGCUGUGUCCCAGUGUUCCCGGGAUCCUGUUGCGCAGUAGUGAGAACUCCUCCCCUAUAGUUUUGAUGAGCAAGAUAGGAUGCCUAGUACAUUCCACCUACCCCAGAGGCUACCACCUAGAACAACUGACCAAAGUAGCCAAAGGGAAGAAUUCUUACCAAAACAGCCUCCCAGAUUGCUAUCUGUAGAAUCAAUUGAAAAAAGGUGAUAAUAAUUUAUGCUUUCCAAAUUUAGAUUAAAAGGAGAAAACAUUUGUGUGAACUAUUUUGGGCGUUUAUGGCUUUGGACAUUUGUUAUUGACCCAUUCUCUCUAGGGUAGCCACAAUUUCCCCUUUUCACUAUCUUUUGUGUCACUUGUCAUAAGAGGAGAGUCACAAAGUAAAACACAGGCAUGAUCCUAGAAGCUUGUUGCUUGAGUCAGCCUCACAAACUGGCAAGUCCAUGGUUCUCACCAGACCAGAGUCUAUUUAGACAAACUUUGCUGUGGGUCACCAAUUUUUAAAAAAGAGAUGAAAUCCUUCCUCUGUCUUGUUCUGUGUCUUGAGGGAGGUUGGCUGGGAUCCAGUGAAAGUGCACUCUCCCUUUUUCUGCUUGCUGGGACGCGCAGGGUGUAGGGUUUGCAUAUUCAGGUGGCCAUCCGUCAAGCUGGGGAUCUGAAACAUACUCCUACCAUCUGUGCAAAUUCUCAGGGGAAUUUGUCUAAAUAAGGGACCCCAACAUAUAAGGGGCAACUGGUAUCUUUUCCUUGCACUGUCUUGUUGGUGCUUGGAAAAUCUCAUCCCUGUAUAGCCUACCAGGCAUCAUAGACUAAUGGGUCUAGAAUGGAAGGUACCUCAUUUUUGUGGGAGGCCAGAGAUUUCUAACUGCCUGUGGCAAUAAAAGUUUCUGCUUUCUUUUACUGUCUUGGGAUGUGAGUGGCCUUUUUGGAUCAAGGGGGCUAUAUCUUCUGUUCUCACUCCAGGGACACCUCUUGCCUCCAUGAUAAAAAUUUACUCUAAGCCAGGAACGUGGCCUGUUGGUCUAUCCAUAACGAGGCUUUCUAGUUUGGGCCACAUUUGGAAAGGAUAUAUACCUUUGAAGAUCACACUUGUUGAAUGCCUGAUGAUAAAUAUUCCAUUUGGAAAAUACAUAAAAAGAUUUUUAGAGAGCACUCAUCCUAAAUAAAUAUCUUAGUGAUACCUAGGGGAAGAUUGGAUUAAAAGAAGGAAAAUAAAAAAGAGAGGGAAAGAACAGGAGAGUUAUUUCCUAGUUCUUAACCAGAUUAGGAAGUAGAGGUAAAACUUAGAAAAGACAUCAAGAUAUGAAAGACACUCAGGCAAUUGUGAGACUUAAGUCAAUACUGAUAGCUAGGAAAUAUGUUCCUUAACAAAGGUUCUGGGAACACAGAGGAUGCUUGGUCUUUACUGUCCUUUACUAUCAGACAAGAACUUCAGGCCUUCCCAUACAAAGCUCUUUGAGAAUGUAUUCUGGGUGCCCCACUGCAAAGAAUUCAUUGGACAGUCUACACUUAAGGAAAAAAAAAUUUUAAUAGGCACUGCCCUGGAUUUCUGAUAAUAGCAAAUAUGCCCCUAGACACCUUCUUGGGGGGGGGGGACCUAAAUCCACUCUCUGUCCCUUUAAGAUGUAAACCUUACCAAGUCUUUAAAAUUUAAAUAUCCCAAGAGAUAACAGCUAGCUAAAGCACCUACCAGCAAGCAGAGAUGGAAAGAAGAAAAAGGGAAAAAAGAGGUUUUUGAAAACAAACUGCUGCUCAGUAUUUCCAAUGAGUCCUUACCCCAAAAUUUAGUCCACAGUUUUCAUAAAACCACAUAUCAGGGAAAACGAAAAAUUCUUAAAAGUCUUAUUCACAAAUAGCACUAAAAACUUUUAGCAUUCACCAAAAAGCUGAUUUGUUAACUGCCUAAAUUGUUCCAUCCGCCAGAAAUAUAAUUUGAUGCUUUUCUUUAUAAUCUGACUAGAAAAAAAAUUCUGUGUCUUAUCAGAAUGAUUACCUGUGUUUCACGUCAUCUUUAUCAGGUUUUUGAUUACUUAAGAAAAUCAAGUCUUCUUAAUAUUGAAAUAGAUAAGGUCUUGUUUUCUUAUUUUGUUUUGUUUUUAUUUCCAGGUAUGUCACUUACUAUAUUGGCAUUUGAACUCUUUUAUUGUCAGUUUUGCUAAAUUAACAAGUAUUGUUUCAUAGUGUGGAAAGUAACAUAAUGUCUUUUCCAUCAAAGAAAUCUUGGUUACUCCAUUUUGCUCUGGUUUCAGCUGAAACGCCUUCCUGCAACCCCCCCCCCUCCUCUUUCUCUCUUCUCCCAGUAAUAAUUUGUUUCAAAUUAGCCAACCAAGAAGAAUGUGCACCCUGACCUGACCAAUGGGUUAGGGGACAGGUACAUCACCUGCGGUAGGGAUAAAUAGGGAGAAUCUUUUCUUCUUUGCCUGCACUUUUUGAGCACUCAUGUCCUUCUGCAGAAAAGCCUUGUCGAGAUCUCCCCAUGUUCAUGUGUCUCAUUUUCCAACACUGAUGAUCUGAGCCAUCUCCCCGACAAUAGCGAUUUAUGAUUCUCUUUAAUCAUGUUUUCAAACUUUUGUCAAACUUCUAAAUUUUGAAAAAAUCAAAUUCUAAAUGGUUUUUUUGAUCUUGAACCAACUUUGAGAUUCCCCUGAGGGUCCCUGAAAUCUCAAAAGAUUUGUUCUUUCAUCUUAUAACAAGAGAGAUGUUAAAUUGAUAAGGUUUAUUCGGUAUAUUAAAUUACAUAGGAAACAUUAUCAAGUAAGAAGUGAUAUUUAACCCUCUUUAGGUUAUACUUUUAUGAAUAUUUGUCAUUAAUAGAAGUGCUCAAAAAAUCUUAUGAAACUUCUAGACAUUUGUUAAUGCCCCUAUGAAACAGGAGAUAAGGGAAUAGGGCAAACCUUAAAAAAAAAAAAAAUGACACAGCCAUUGAGGAUAUGACAAAAAUUGGUUAGAACCAACUUGAUCCAAGAUGGUGGAAGAUUUGACUACCAAUAGACUCUGGGCCUCAUUAUAUGCUCAUGUAAUAAAUCAGCAUGCAGUUCAGAGGCUAUCAUAAAGCUGACCAUAAAAGGCAGUGGCCUAAUUCCUAAAAAUUCCCCUUCCCUUCACUUCCCUAAAAUGGUUGGAAUAUUCCUCCCACUCAUUAGCCUAUGAAAUUACCCAGCCCAUGAAACCAAGCAGGGCUCUUUGGAGCUCCUGGGUGCAAAAGCCUUUCUGGGUCUAGCACUUCUUGCUUUUUUUUUUUUUGGAAAUGGGCCUCAUACAACCUCCAUGACCUUCUCUGAGUUCCGAGGGUCAGGUUCAGACAGUUGCUGAUCAGGGAAGUCUGGGGGUGCAAAGACAAGGAAGGAGCAGGCAAGAAACAAUAGUGCAGCUUUGGGGCAGGAUCCUGGUUCCCUUUCAAGGGAUACGCAUAAUAACAUAGGCAUCUUAUACACCUUCUUUUUGAAGUGAAUACUUUAAAACUGAAAAGUUUAGAGUCCUUCCUUGUCCUCCUCCUUGGCUUAAUUGCAUCCUAAACACAAUUGCCCGUAAACUAAAAAUUAUACACCACAAGCACAAUUGCCUAUGGGUUAAAGAUUAUUAGCACUUGCUGUUUUUCAGGAAUUUUCCUAGUUUGUACUAAUCUCUGAUCAAUAUGCCCUUUCCCCAAGUACUGUUAUUCUAGGCAGUAACCCAGAAGACCACCAUCACGAUCAUGCUGAGAUCACGUGACACCAGCUUUGAUGACUAAGAUUCCCCUAAAGAAAGAAGAAUGCAUGUUUUCCCCAAUCUUGAUUCCUAUCUGAAAGCUCUUUUUUUCUGCUUUUUACUAUAAAACUUCCUGAACAUCUCCCAAAGGAUGCACAGUCUUUAAGGCAUUAGCCUGCUGUGGCCUCCUUUGCCUGGCAAAACAAUCAAAGCUAUCUUUUUCUUCUUCACCCAAAACUCUGUCUCCACAUUUCUAUUCGGCAGUGGUGAACAGAGACAAUGGAGUCUCAGCAACACCCGUAAAAACUCACCACCCAAUAUUUCCGGGCCUCUUGCCUUCUGAGAUGGCCCACCUUCUGUCUAAGGAGUGUGUUUUUCCUGGGGCCACUCUCUUGUCUUUUGAGAUGGACCACAUUCUGUCUAUGGAAUGUGUAUCUUCCAGGCCACUCUGGCCUUUUGAGAUGGCCCACACUCUAACUAUCGAUAAAUCUACAUAUCAUUCUCCUCUUACUGAAUUCCUUCAGUGCUAAGACAUAAAGAACUUGGACUUCAGUAAGUCACUGAGCCCAGGUGUAUGAUUGUAAUUAAAAGACAGUGAGUUCAAGCCCCAAUUUGGGUCUUGGCUGGGUUUGCAUCCCAUCCCAUGGUUUCAAGUCCCAAUCUGACUUGUGCAGUUUAACUUACUGUACCUAUGAGUCCAUAUGUCCUGAUUUAAUGCUAUCGGUCAUAAUUCUGAUUAUCUUAAAAUGUUGUGUCACAAAAACAACUAAAUUACCUACUCAAUUGCAUUAUAAUAAACUCUCAUCAGAUUUUUAACCAUGACUGUUGUUAAGUCUUUUGUUGUGGUUAUGGUUUUACUUUGAUUAUUCUCUGAAAGCAUAUGCAAUCAGCUAUAGUCCCAAAGGGCUUGUCUUCAAAGAAAUUCACGAGAAAACUCUGAUAAGUACUCUGGAGUACAGAUUUCUGAUAACUUUUAAGAUGAUGCCACUGAACUAGGUAAAAAUUUCCAUAAACCUGAUGGAGAAACUGAUGGGUUUCUAAAACUGCUAAGUUAAGAUCAAGUAGAACAAAAAUGAAUUACAUGAUGAACUGAUAAGGAUGAUUACAAUUCUGUAACUUUUUGUUUGAAACAUUAUUGGCUCUUUGAUGUUUUGUUUGCCAUAUUUAAAGAUGCCUUUUUCUUAUUCCUCUUAAGCUGUCACUAACUAUGGCUUGCAAUAACCAGUGAAUUAUACUUUUGUAAAUAAGAAUGAAACAUUUACUUUUCUCCUUACCUGACCCCUCCAAAAUUUGGAAAACUUUUAUUGAAUAUUCUUAUUUUCAUAGUAAUAAUGUUAUUUGUAUAAGUUCAAAAAAAAUCUGUUCUCCAAGUAACAGGAUACAAUUAAAAACAUUGGUUAUUUUACCAAGACUUUGACUGGAAUGUCAUAUUUGAGAAUGAUUUGAAUAGAAUCAGAUAUGACCAGACAGAUUUAAGAAAGUGAGUUGAAUUUAUAGUGCCAAUGCUUACAAAGCUCCUUGAAAAAACUGAUCUGGUAUCAGGCUUACAGAGUUCCUAAACUCACAGGUGGGUAAGAAACAUCACUUCCUGGCAGGCCCAGGAAUCUUAAAAUAUUUUGAGAACCUCAUCAAGAGAGAAAUUCACCAACUCAAAAGAUAUUGAAGGAAAAUCUAAUGGCAGAUUCUUAUGUUGACUUCCCAGCCUCAAGAGGCUUUUAAAAGUCUAAUCUGAGAUCCCUUAUUAAAUUUUUUGGUAAAGUAGUCUGUAUGGUCAAUUACUAUUCUUACUAAACUUAUAUUAUUUAUUGAUUGAUUAUUUAUCAAGCCAAGCUUAAUGAGGCUAGAGUUAUUCUAUAAACAAAUUAGUCCUAUUUUGAUUAUCUUUGAUAGAAAUGGGGGUUGACUGGUAGGGAGAAAUUUUACAUUUCAAUAAAAAAUCAUAACCUACCUUUAUAUAUGUUCAUUAUCUUUGAGCUAUUUUUAUCUCUUUGUAAACUGAAUCUUGUAUUUUUGAGAACUCUGCCGGUAAUGAAGGUUUCCCAUUUUUCUCUCACCCUCUUGACAUGAAGUCACUAAGAACUAAAAAUCUGCCUGCCCAGGUCCUUAUUGUGACUACUUUAAAAAGCUCUGCAAAUUUAAGUCAGAUGCUUCUAUGCUCUGUUCUGAAAAAUAACCAUGAAACCAUGAAUGUGACAAUGAUAUAUGUGCCAUCAGCAGAGACAUUCAAACUAUAAAAUGGGAAAUUCAUUGAAUUACCACCGCAUGUUCCCACUCUGCUACCUAAGCACAUUUCAAGCCCAACAUCUAGAAAUCAGGACUGCACUAUGGAUUCAGAAACUGGGUUAAAAGUUUGUUUUAAUCAUUAAACUUUGUUUUUCUUUUGUUUCCACAGAAACACACCUCAUUAAAUGCCUGAAUGCGCACACCAUAUAGAAGACUAACUUAAGUGGAUUCCCUAUUCCCAACUGCACCACUGCCUCCAGAAAUGAGACACCACUGUUUAUCUGGACAGUCUUAUUCCCAGGAUUGAGAGACUGAUUCAAUAAGAUACAGAGCAAUGUGCUUAGAUUUGUUCUUUUCUGCUUUUUCCAAUCCACAUUUUUCUCAUCCUUCACAGAUCUCUUAUCUCACAGCUUCUAACUCAAAUCUCUUUCCCUAGCUACCAACAUGAUUUUUAAUAUAUGAAACUUAAAAUUUCAAAUGGGGAGUGAAAAUAUGAUACUCUGACAUAAGGAUUAUCUUGAGCUAAAGGCAAUUGAAAAGAAUCAGAGGACUUCCCGCGUGGCUCAAAACAUAAUUACUCGUGUUGCUUCUACAGUGGCUGCGGCUCGACCCCUAGCCUGGGAACUUCCAUAUGCUGCAGGUGCGGCCACU
rnacentral:lncRNA from 1 species